GGAGCAUAUUUAAAUUGCAUGAGAACUAAAAUAUUGGAUACCUGACCUGCUCUAGGAUUACAAAAAUCCACAUUCCUGUUACAUGACAGAGGUCAGAAUUUACUGGCAUCAAUGGCAGCUGCUGCAGAGAGCAAAGCACUGAGGCAGGGCUUGAUGGCAGCGGGGCUGCUCCCGCACCGCACUUCCCGGGUGGUGAUGAUGUGUGAAAUAGUGUCCUCUGCUGCACGAACCGACACAGUGCGCCUACUCUGAGUUGCCCCGCAGGAAGACAGACUGGAGGAGGAAAGCUUGAACAACAAUAAAUCCUGAUCUAAAGGUAACA
rnacentral:lncRNA from 1 species